rnacentral:lncRNA from 10 species
GUUUCUCAAACCGUGCCUUCCCAUUUAUGCUGCAUCCGCGCCCUGAAUCUGAAAUUGGUCGUCCUGCCACGCCGCCUCACCGCGGUAUAAGGUCGUCCCAUCCUGAAUGGCCGGUGCGCAGACUCAAUUGCGACUUUGAGGCUGUCAGCCGCCACCCGGCAACCUUCCAGUGAACAGGAUUCUGGGUUUCUCAAAGCUGUAAUUGGAGGGCCACUCCAGAGGUGUUAAAGCUCCAGCACUUCGAGCCUGCCUCGUGGGAAAGUCUUAGGCUGAGUCUGUAGGUGUCUGCAGUUAAGAAGCCAGCGGUCUGCAUAUGAUUGCUCAGGGGUGGUGGCUGGGUCCAACAGCAUUCACUACAGGCCUGCCUUGAAUACCACCUAGCGCAGUGCUCCGCAUAUCACAGGUAUGGGAAGCUUUGGAUUCAUAAGCUCAGUAAAUUAAGGAAUUUCACAUUAUGAACUCAAUUUGAGAUGGGUUGGACUGGUGAUACCUGGAAGGGGUAAAUGAGAACCCACUCUGGAGGCACUUUACGCCUGAGGGAGCAUCCACAAAUAAUUUUUCAGGGGCUGGAAACCUAACAAUUUCACUUCCUAGACAACUUGCUAAAAGUCACCUAAAGACAGUCUGGUUACUGCCAAAGAUAUGCUUUCAAAUAAGAUUUGGAUAAAGAAGGGAGGUAGAUGCCUUUUUUCAGCAGUGGAGUGAUGUCUAGACCAGUAGAUGUACGCAUCUAAGUGAAUUCAUCACCAGCAACAAUUUCCAGAAACUUCCUGACCUCCAGAUUGCAGCUUCAUUAGUGUGAGUUUAAAGCCAACUAGAUGCCAUUCUCAGAUUCCACGCAUAUGGCCAAGGGUCCAGGAAAUAAGAAGAAACAGGUUGAGGGGUUGGUGUUAUGGGGCAUUUACUUGAAUUUUCUAUGCUAUAAUUGUCUCAUCUUUAAAACGGUGAUAAUAAUAAAAUUGUCAGUUAUUAAAUAAAUUAACACAGUGAAAAAAAAUUUCUUCAAGGUUCUU